AUGGACUGGGUGCCAAGCUGCGUUUUCCUCCUGAUCAUGUUUCAAGGUGUCCAGUGUGAGGUGCAGCUGGUGGAGUCUGGGGGAGGCUUGGUGCCGCCUGGGGGGUCUCUGAGACUCUCCUGUGCAGCCUCUGGAUUCACCUUCAGUAGCUACUGGAAUACCUGGGUCCGCCAGGCUCCAGGGAAGGGACUGGAGUGGGUCUCAUAUAUUAAUGGUGAUGGAAGUACCACAUCCUACGCAGACUCUGUGAAGGGCCGAUUCACCAUCUCCAGAGACAAUGCCAAGAACACGCUAUAUCUGCAGAUGAACAGCCUGAGAGCCCAGGACACAGCUGUGUAUUACUGUACCAGAGAUGAAAAGUAUCAGGAUUUUGUCUCUCAGCUAUUACAGGCUGUUGGCCAAGUAGUGGUGGAUGGAGAGGCUGGCAUGUUAAUAGUUAAACAGUUGGCAUAUGAAAACGCCAACACUGCCUGUCAAGCUGCACUGUGGCCCUAUCAAAGAAAGGGGACUCUCUCAGAUUAUAUCCGCAUUUGCGCAGAUAUUGGUGUCCUGUCCCAGGUGCAGUUUCAGGAUCCAGGCCCAGGACUGGUGAAACCCUCACAGACCCUCUCCCUCACCUGUGUGGUCUAUGGAUUCUCCAUCACAACCAGUGAUUAA